rnacentral:rRNA from 1 species
CCGGGAUUGCCUUAGUAACGGCGAGUGAAGCGGCAAAAGCUCAAAUUUGAAAUCUGGUACCUUUGGUGCCCGAGUUGUAAUUUGGAGAGGGCAACUUUGGGACCGUUCCUUGUCUAUGUUCCUUGGAACAGGACGUCAUAGAGGGUGAGAAUCCCGUGUGGCGAGGAGUGCGGUUCUAUGUAAAGUGCCUUCGAAGAGUCGAGUUGUUUGGGAAUGCAGCUCUAAGUGGGUGGUAAAUUCCAUCUAAAGCUAAAUAUUGGCGAGAGACCGAUAGCGAACAAGUACAGUGAUGGAAAGAUGAAAAGAACUUUGAAAAGAGAGUGAAAAAGUACGUGAAAUUGUUGAAAGGGAAGGGCAUUUGAUCAGACAUGGUGUUUUGCGCCCUCUGCUCCUUGUGGGUGGGGGAAUCUCGCAGUUCACUGGGCCAGCAUCAGUUUUGGUGGCAGGAUAAAUCCGUAGGAAUGUAACUUGCUUCGGGAAGUAUUAUAGCCUAUGGGAAUACUGCCAGCUGGGACUGAGGACUGCGACGUAAGUCAAGGAUGCUGGCAUAAUGGUUAUA